rnacentral:rRNA from 1 species
AGAGGUAGAGCUACCGAUUGGGCUAGGGGGCUUCACCGCCUACCAAACCCUGACGAACUCCGAAUGCUAUAAAAUAUAUCCAGCAGUGAGGCAGCGAGUGAUAAGGCCCGUUGCCGAAAGGGAAACAACCCAGACCAUCAGCUAAGGUCCCAAAGUCUAUAUUAAGUUGCACAAACGUUGUCCGAUUGCUAUAACAGCUAGGAUGUUUGCUUGGAAGCAGCAAUCAUUUAAAGAGUGCGUAACAGCUCACUAGUCGAGUGAUCGGGCGCGGAAGAAUGACCGGGCAUAAAAUAUAGCACCGAAGCUAUGGAUUCGAAAGAAUGGUAGGAGAGCAUUCCAGCAUCUGUGAAGGUGAACCGUGAGGUUUGCUGGAGAAACUGGAAAAGAAAAUGUAGGAAUAAGUAACGAUAAAUAAGGUGAAAAACCUUAUCGCCAUAAACCUAAGGGUUCCUGAUCAAUGUUAAUCAGAUCAGGGUUAGUCGGAUCCUAAGGACACCGAAGGGGACCUCCGAUGGAAACUAGUUAAUAUU